CUGUUGAGUUGGACAGAGCAAAGUACACUCACUAGUAUGAAAAGCACCCACAAACCACAAAAAAGUCGAAACAAACCCUCCUUCAAUAGAGCACAAACACACACUAUCAAUUUUCGUCUGUUCUAAAUCAAAAAUCCAUCUCUAGAAGCGACCAAAAAAAACCCCUUUCAAUUCCUUUCAGAAAGCCGGUCAUGGUUUGAACAGAAUUCAAAUCCCCAGAUGGGCUCAACUCCAGCUGCUGCUGCCAAAUCCUUCUCUCUCCUCUUUCUCUCUCUAACUUUCUUCACCAUCCUUGUGUCCUCCGCAGAUUACACAAAAUUGGUGUACAGGGGCUGUGCAGACCAAAAAUUUCAGGACCCAAGUGGAAUUUACUCACAAACCCUCAAAACCCUUUUUGAUACACUGGUCUCCCAGUCAUCCACCGCCAAAUUCUUCAAUACCACCACCGGUGAAGGCCAAUCAGCCAUUCUUGGGCUGUUUCAAUGCAGAGGUGACCUCUCAAAUGAUGAUUGCAACAACUGUGUGAAAAAGCUUCCGGAUAUGUCCCAAAAACUGUGUGGAAAAACAAUCGCUGCUAGGGUCCAACUCAUUGGGUGUUACAUGAGGUAUGAGACUGUUGGGUUCAAGCAGGUCCCCGGGACUGAGUUGCUGUACAAGGUGUGCGGGUCGACUCAGGCGAGUGGGACUGGGUUUGAUCAGAGGCUGGACACGGCACUUGGGGAGAUAGAGACGGGUGUGGAGAAUGGUAAUGGGUUUUACGCGGGUAGCUAUGAGUCGGUGUAUGUGUUGGGUCAGUGUCAAGGGGAUUUGAGCAGCGGUGAUUGUGUGGAUUGUGUGAAGAGUGCUGUGGAGACAGCUCAAAGUGACUGUGGUACCUCAGUUUCUGCUCAAGUAUAUCUUCAGGACUGCUAUAUUAGCUAUACCUACUAUCCAAAUGGGGUGCCUACCAAAUCACUGUCAGGGACAGGAGGGUCAAAUACAAAUACAAAUACAAAGAAGACAGUGGCUAUAGUUGUGGGAGGGGUAGCAAGUUUGGGGUUUGGAAUUGCAUGUUUGUUGUUUAUUAAAUCAGUGUUUAAGAGACGAGAAGGCAAGUAUGGUCCGUAUUGAUGAUGAUGAGGUGGUCACUAAGAAGAUUGCAAAGUCUUUGUCUGAACGGGGAUUCAAAAAGAGACGGAUUUGAUUGGGGGAGUGUAAAGAGAAAAGAGGAACAACUUCAAUUGGGCAAUGUGAUAAUGGCACUCCAUUUUUGUUAAUAUUUUUUUAAUAAAUUGAGUAACAAUUGUGUGUACUUUUUUAUGGAGCGUGAGAGUUUUUUUUUAAGGACUCUGUUACUUCAAUUUUUUAUACUUUUAAUAUUUUUAAUACAUGUGAGUGUAGAGUGCAAGAGCUCUGAAUAUUAAUUUUCUUUUUGUUUUUGGCAAUACAAA